GUGCCGCGCUGGAUAGCUACCCAAACAUUUUGCUUUGCAAAAAUGUUUUAGGGAGGAAAGUCCGAACACUCACCCCGACUUUAUGGAGGGGUUAAAAAGGUAGCAGGUAACGCCUGCCGUCCGCAAGGAUAGAGAUGCGAACAGAAACGACCCGGUUAAGUCCGGCUGAAACGGCAAAAUUCUUACCCGAGUGCAAGUCCGUGUCCUGCAUAGCUUUACGCGAAGCAGGAAGUGACGCUACAGGUUGUUGGCGACAACAAUCGCAGAUAAAUGGCUAUCUCCGCAGAUGAUGCGGAACAGAAUUCGGCUUAUAGGCGCGGCACGACA
rnacentral:RNase_P_RNA from 6 species